GACGAACGCUGGCGGCGUGCUUAACACAUGCAAGUCGAACGGAAAGGCCCUGCUUUUGUGGGGUGCUCGAGUGGCGAACGGGUGAGUAACACGUGAGUAACCUGCCCUUGACUUUGGGAUAACUUCAGGAAACUGGGGCUAAUACCGGAUAGGAUCUCCUGCUGCAUGGUGGGGGUUGGAAAGUUUCGGCGGUUGGGGAUGGACUCGCGGCUUAUCAGCUUGUUGGUGGGGUAGUGGCUUACCAAGGCUUUGACGGGUAGCCGGCCUGAGAGGGUGACCGGCCACAUUGGGACUGAGAUACGGCCCAGACUCCUACGGGAGGCAGAAGUGGGGAAUAUUGCACAAUGGGCGGAAGCCUGAUGCAGCAACGCCGCGUGCGGGAUGACGGCCUUCGGGUUGUAAACCGCUUUCGCCUGUGACGAAGCGUGAGUGACGGUAAUGGGUAAAGAAGCACCGGCUAACUACGUG
rnacentral:rRNA from 1 species